GGUGCACAGCAUCCUUCCCUCGCAGCGGCGAAGCGACCGAACUGGUCCUGAGAGAGACACGGCGAGGGGGGCUCGCGAGCCGUGGCGUGGCGGGCCCCGUUUCUGGGCCCGCUGUCUGCAGCCCUCAGUCGCUCGCUGAUGCUUGGACGAGCAGGAGUGUCGAGUUAUCCUAGGGCAGGGCUCGUCGCGAUUCUGCUGAUUUCUCACUUUUUCGGGGGAGGGAUCCUUCCGAAGGAGGGCGACGAUUCGCGCUCGCGCCGAUUUCGUAUCGACAUCCGGCCGAUCGCCGCUCUCUCGUCUCAUUCAUCCCGAGUAGACCGAUCGAACGAUCGAUACCGACUCUCGAAGAUCACCGACAAUUAAUCCAGGAUGAUUCAAACUGCUACGUAGUGGGAGGAAAACCCGGGAUGAGUUUUCUUCCGCCUUGGAUUUUGAGAGGGAUCCAUGACGAUUCGACGAUCGCUGUUUCGCGCCACUCGGCUCUCGCAUUCUUGACCUUGACUCCCGAUUCCCGCCCUGGUCAAUGAUCAGUCGGUCCGUCGCUGACAGUUAACGGAUGUCCCGCGAGCUGCUCCGAAUUAGAAACGGAGUUUCGAGAUAUUGACAGCGUGGCAUGAACGUACUUACGGAUAUUUGAAAUCAUCGAGGAGUGUCGAUUGACAGUGUAAUUUUACCGUUCAAUUGAAUUUACUGUAGAUUGCAACCUUACGAUGAUCAAGUUACCGACGUUGAAGAUGACGGAUUCGAUAGGUAAGGGCACGAUGAAAGGAUCUCCUCUUCUUCUCCCCAUGAGACGAUGGAAGAAGAUUACCAAGCUAUAUCGAAGUCUCGAUCGUUUCCCUCGCGUUCGCUUGAGAGUCUACGCUUUCCGUAACUCGUCAUCGUUGCUGCGAAAGGAGCAAGGGGGGACGUUGCAAUAUCUCCAUGGUCUUGAGUGAUGAGAAUGCUUAACUUCUCAAGUGUGCGAAGCAAACGGAUCUUUAAAAUGAGAAAGAGAAACACCGGUUACGUUAUCGCGACCGGACGGAUGUCACGUCGAUUGAAUUGGCGUGUCCUGGAAAAUCGAACGGGAGGACUCUCGCUGGACCCGGUGAAAAGUAUAAUCCCGACCCGGCGCCUAUGCUACGAGGCGUGGUUCGCUUCGUCGCGGACGAGUUUGCCGCGAACGGGUCACGCGAUAAAAUCCAUCGAGAGCACGGAUCGCGGGAGAUCUCCGAUGGAAUAUCGCGAGCGUAACGCCGUCGUCGCCGUAUCGCGUCGCGAUACGAUCUCGAUCCUACGCGUAGUGCGUUUGGAUUCCGAUGUGCGUGCCGAGUUGGAUUACGCCGCGGGGUUACUCGACGGAGUGAUCGAGGAAGUGGGAGUCUCGCGGCUGUGAUCAGCGCGCCGCGCCGCGCCGCGCCGCGCGCACCGGUCGGGAUCGAUCGAGCGGAAAGGCAAAAAAUCAUUCCGGCAAACGAGGAUCCCGGAGGCCUCGCGUCGUUACAAGGAUCAAGGAUCAAUGAUCUCGGUGCGAUGAUUUUUCGAAUUCUCCGGGGAAAUAUACAGUUAGGCGUUUUCCCCGGUAUCUCGCGCGCGGACGCCUCGUCGAGUAAACGAGCCAUCAUCGCAGUUGAAAUGAGACCUCGCGAGGGCGAUCGCUUCUGUUCUAAACGAACCAAGUCUUCGCGGGAUCUUUGACUUUUACGCUUCUGCUACAACGAAACGUGCUCUCGUGUUCUCACCGAACACUGCAAACUCGAACAAGAAAUUUUCUCGCUAUGUAAAGAGAGAGAGAGAGAGAGACAGAGAAAGAGUGGCCUGAUAAAAAGGAAGGAUUUGCCAACUUCCUGCGAGUUGGAGCGUGAGAGAAAGGCCGCCUCGCAACCACCUCGUAUGUUCGACGAACAGACGAGCGCAAGAUCGCAUCGUGAAGCUCCGAAUUGAACUUUGGACGUCCCAGGCGGACUUCCUCCGCAUGACAGCUCCAUUUUCUCAUAAAUCAAAUCGAAAAGAAUCCGUUAUGCGUCUGGCGCAGCCGUAGGAGCUGCCUCUCAAUGGCAGAGACUUCUCAAUUCGCAAGUUCAACGUUAGGAGGAUUGUGAGGAUCUCUUACAGAAAGAAUUCGCAGGCGGCAGAUGGGAAUAUACGCAAGCUGCAGAGGGCUCGAGUGUGACACGUGAAGGAAUAAAGCACAACAUCGUUUCGCGGAGAAGCGGAGGCAUGCACACGCGAGGACGGCGCGAACGGCCGCCGGCUCGCGCCACCUUCGCCGACGGGGAACGUCCCCAGAGACUUCGACGCGUGCACAGGAACAUCGCUGAUUCCAAAACAAUCAUGCAUGGCGGACGGUAAGGGCGGAAAAUGUCGAGGAUGACUUGGGCCUUAGUGGUCCUGUGGUGGCUGCAUUUGAAUCCUACUGGCCUGCUAAGUCCCAAGUUACCUCCGGCGCAAGCGCGAUGGUGCCUCUCGCCGACUGAAAGAAACUUCCAGUGAACAUUUUCCUAAAUCUUAAAGCGAAGCGUCUCCACCUCUCAAACACAACGGUAAAUCCUUUAAUUAUAUGACAAAUAUGUGUUUAUAUAUGUAGAUUGUAGUUUGACAAUAACAACGUUCGGGCAUGAAAAAUGUAAAAAAGAAAAUUCAUUUUGUUGCUCAUGUAUAAAUGUUUCUCGUUUGUAUAAAGAUGUGUUGUAAUUGAUGUUUACAAUUGCAAUAACAAUGUUUCACUUUUCCAUCUAUUUUUCAAUGCUCGAACAAUAAUAAAGACAAUGUUGUUAUCAUUUUAUUUCAAACUUAUUUGUCCAGAAUGGAAAUUAUCGUUAUUUAAGUGUUCGUUAAGAAUUUUGUUACCUGAUAGUUUCUAAGAUCUCCAACUCAAUUCAUAGAGUUGUAAAAUAAAGUUUGACGAUAUACGAAUAUAAUUUAUAAUAUAAGAAAAUCAUGCGCAUUUAAUAUGUAAAUUAAUUUUACAAUUCUUAAAUGCUUAAAUUUUCAAAGAAUUACUAUGGGUUCAAGUAUCAUUUGUUUUUAAUGUAUGUAUGUACAUACUGUCGCAGCAAGUAUCAAUUGUCACUUGUUAAUAUGUUUAAAUGUGCAUGUGUAGUAGAUAUGUGUCAUACGUAAUCGAUCAUUUGCAACGAUUGUGGGAAAAUCAGAGAUAAAAUACUGACUUAUACAAUAAAUCCGAUCGUAAUUAAUAAUUCACGCAGCAAUUAUUAUCUGUCAGUCCUCGCGUUUCCUAACUGUCCUUUAUGAGUCUAUCGUUUCUUUUACGAAAUCAAAAUACAUUCCCAGUCCGGAGAAAGUCAGAGAUAUUCAAAAUUUGUUAAAGAAAAAUUAUUAAAAUAAUAUUAAAUUUCAAUUGGCGAAAUUAAACGAAUUAAACGAAUAUUAUUUUAACUAUUUAGAAAAAAAAGGAAAAUGCAACGAUAAAUGCAAUUAUUCAACAAUGUAUCAAUCAAGGAUUUUAUUAAUUAAUUAUAUGUAAUUUUUUAAAUAUAUCUUCUUAGAUUCUACUACUAAUUGAACGAUAAUAUGAUUGUGGCGUAAUAAUUCCGCGUUUGUCCUUUGUGCCAAAGAUCCAGAUUUAAAUCCACCCGAAACCUAUCAGGAUAUAUAUUAUAAAAUUAUUUUGAAUGAAUUCUAAUCGGAAUUAUUUUCUUUUCCUUAGAAAACACAACAAAAAUCUAGGAGAUAAUUCCGAAUUCAUUCCAAAAAUUUAUAAUACAGGGCCAAAUUUUUAAUGAAUUGUUAUCUCUCAAAAGACAAUGACAAACCAAAGGUACGACAGUACCUUUGUCAAGAUAGUUAUCAUAGGCCUGUACGCUUUGAGUGAUAUACAGCAAUAAUUUUAAUAUUAUUUACUAUUAAUCAUACAUAUUUUUUGCACGAUGAAAGAUGCUGCAAUACGUGGAAUGUACGCGGAAAAAUUUCAUUAAAAAUAAAAUUAUUAAUGAAAUAAAUCGCAGGCUUUCGAGACUAGUGUUUGUUGAGGCAGCUUUGGGGUUUCUAUGCGGCAUGUGCCUCGACACGGAAUGAACGCAAUGCCCUUGGAAAUCCCAAAGGAGUCCAACGCAUCGCAACAACAAGAGGAGGAUUUACGAGGACGAUAUAUUGGACUCACCAAUUUUGCGCUGUCCAGCAACUCGGUUCUGCGGAAUCUCGGGUAAUCACCGCGCAAAGGGGUAUCAUUGGCAAUGUUCUGAUUCUGCCAAUCGAGACUCGACAAAUCCGGCGGGAGCCUAUUCAUCGCUCAAUGUAAUUCCUGUAACGCACAAUACACAGAGUUUAUGCGGCUAAUGACUUCGUAAUAGCGUCAUUUACGUAAUUCGAAUUUAAUUGAAAUUUCAGCGGGAGCAGAGAUGUCUGACCAAAAAUUCUUCAAAUGCCAAUUAUGUAUUACAAUACGUGAUGUAAACACAACUCGUAUAAAGUCGAACAGAGUUAAAGCUGUCGACUGAAAUCCACAAUAACAUACGUCUGUUCCAAGUUAUCUAUUAUACACUCGUUCAAAUAUCUCAGGAAUCCCGCAAUUAAUAAUUUGUAAAGAAAAAGUUUGUAAUACCUCAUUAAAAUUUUAUUUCUGAAUCAUAAUUAAUUUGUCAAAGUUUCGAUUAUUAAGAAUUUUAUUGUAACAGAUCGAAAAUUACACGGAAAUAAAGUUCUACGUAUGAGGAAUAACUCGCUUUUUCUAAUGCUUUACUUUUGCAAGCGUUUUCUUUUUAUUGGGAUAUUAAGUACCUUUGUAAGAUUCGUUCGAAUGACACGUACCGCAGCCGUCUAUCCGCUGAUACUUUCCAACCGAAACUACUGUGGUGUGUCAACUAAUCUGAGCGGAUAGCUGAGGUUGAAAAACUAUCAACACGUACGUCGAUUAUAAUCGCCGCGAUUGUAUCGCAGUGUGCCAAAGUGUAACAAAAGUCACAAGGUCAAUCGUCGGAAACGAGCCUGUUUUGUAUAAAACCGUUAUCGGUGUGUUGUAUAAAAAAAAAAAAUAAAGAAAAAACUAUUGCAUAAUCUAUUUGUGUAUCUGCCAAAUGCGACAAUUUUUUAAAUCGUGUUUUACAUAAGUCGUUAAUCACGAUAAAAUAAAGUGACAAUAAAUAGUGUGAAUCUCCGAAUAAGAUAAAUGAAAUUCGAGAAAUGCUUUGAACAAAUUUUCAAACGGUAAUAUGAAUCUAACGAUACGUGCCGUGGUGUUACAUUAACACAGACAAAAAUAGGCAUAUGUAUUAUCAGAAAUAAAGGAUUUAUUAAAGGUGUAAACAUACUUUUAAAUAUAUAUUUCUUUGUUACAUACGAUGCUGACAUUCGUCUAAUGGUUAGAAGUGAAGGUCAAUGAAAUUAAAGUAUUUUUUUUUUUCAUUCAGUAUCUUUAGGUACUGCAU